UUGGAUAUAUAGCUAUGCUGUUGGAUGAAUUACUUAGCGCAUUUACGAGUCGAUGACACACACAACCGUUUCCUACGGGUCGUAAGUUCUCUGGAUGCUCACUCAGAUUCCGUCGAAUAUGUGGGACCGGCACCAAGCUCUCCGUUGGCUGAAACUGGAGGCUUGGAUCAUAAGCUUAUUAUAUGGGAUCUCUAGCAUUCUUCUCCCCGUGCCACCUGUAAUCAUGAGGGCAGAGUGACUUGCUUGACAUGGGUCGGUACGUCGCGAUUCCUGGCUGCAGGUUCUCUCAAUGGCAAAGGGUGGGGGAUAACCUUUCCGGUGAUUGUUGUGCCCUCUAGUAUUGACUCUGGCCAAAUUCUUCUCAACAAAUUUGAUCACAUAACAUGACUGCUCGUGACUAGUUAUGGACUCGUCGUAUAUCAUUUGCAUAUGUGAGAAAUGUGACAAAAAUGCAGGGGUUACUCUAAAAAGAUAUUUCGGAACCCUAUAUCGAUUUGUGUUCGGUGUUGACUCCUGUCAGAUUCUCGCUGGGACAUUUAGCAACAUGCUCUCACUUGUAGUACAUUCUUCUGCUUUUUAUACGUAUAUACUUAUGUGAUGAAUUUGCCACAUAUAAUCAGUCACACUGCCAUCGAUUUCCAAAAUUCGGGGCAAAUUGCGAAAAAUUGAAGUGGCGGAGGAAAAUUUGGAAAAAUCAGAAGAACAUGUCAAUUUACUGCGUCAAGACAGAGCCAUUUGAGUUUUUAACUGAGCUUUUCCUAAACAGAGUAAUGGUGCACCCUUUACCCCCAUAUUAUCUGAGUUUCUUUUUUUCUUAAAACAGAGUAAGGAAUAA